GAUGAACGCUGGCGGCGUGCCUAAUACAUGCAAGUCGAGCGAACGGACGAGAAGCUUGCUUCUCUGAUGUUAUCGGCGGACGGGUGAGUAACACGUGGAUAACCUACCUAUAAGACUGGGAUAACUUCGGGAAACCGGAGCUAAUACCGGAUGAUAUUUUGAACCGCAUGGUUCAAAAGUGAAAGACGGUCUUGCUGUCACUUAUAGAUGGAUCCGCGCUGCAUUAGCUAGUUGGUAAGGUAACGGCUUACCGAGGCAACGAUGCAUAGCCGACCUGAGAGGGUGAUCGGCCACACUGGAACUGAGGCACGGUCCAGACUCCUACGGGAGGCAGCAGUAGGGAAUCUUCCGCAAUGGGCGAAAGCCUGACGGAGCAACGCCGCGUGAGUGAUGAAGGUCUUCGGAUCGUAAAACUCUGUUAUUAGGGAAGAACAUAUGUGUAAGUAACUGUGCACAUCUUGACGGUACCUAAUCAGAAAGCCACGGCUAACUACGUG
rnacentral:rRNA from 1 species